AGGGAGCAUUAAGAACUCUAUUUUAGCGAUGGCUACGAUACGGAAACGACUAACGAACCAAUCCAUUCAAACUUCGACUAAUAACUUGCGAAUGACGCGGAAUUUCAGCCUGCGUUUUGGUAUCGUAACAGGCCGUCGUUCGACUAUUCCGCGAACGAAAUGAAUGAAAAAGUUAUAUAAACAUACAGUUACAAAAACAUACAAGAUCGAAUAGAAGAUACGUAUCUAGUGGAUGAAUAUUCUGUGUAUUACGUAAAAGGUACGAUGAAAACAAACAAAUUAUGAAAAAAUUUAUAAGAGGAGCCUCUAUGUAUGCUUGUUGGAAUCUGAUGAACGAACACACUGAUUACAUAUGUAUAUUUUAGUAGUACACUAUGUGCUAUGUUAACGUAACACGGAGAACAGAUUUACAACGAAUUUCGUAGUACAUGCGCAGUUGCGAAUCCAGUCAGCGGAAGAUCUUCCGAAGAAGGACCUUAGGAGCGUGAAUUUAGUUCUUAAUUGAUAGAAAGCGCGAGUUCCGAAUGGACUUUGAAUCGUUAGUUUAUUAGUAAUUUAUUGAAUAGGGUGUUUUGAACGAUGCCAAUAAUGAAAAGUCGGAAUUGGAAUAAGGAUUCAGUACUAGUACAUAAAUUGUUGGUUAUCUAACAGGUUAUUAGAUAUUGUAAAAUACGUUGGAUUCUCGAUAGGUUAUCCUCUACGCAUAGCAUAAUAAACGACCAAAUUUUGUCUCUCACGUUUCGCUUCGAGAUACUCCGACGGUUUGUUUGUAGCCAUUCCAAAUACAUUAACACUAAUGUAUUUUGUAUGUAACAAGUAACGUUGCACAACGUGUAACUCGCACUAUAUAAGUUAACUGCUAAAUCGUUUUCUUCGUAAUUCUUUAAAUUAGAUACAAUUCAUAGAACCUGUUUAUCGUUCCGAUCAUAUCAAUCAAAUAUUUUAGGAUGGCAUUCGUCCGAGAAUAAUCGUUCGCGUGUCACGCGCAAUUGAACAAUUUUAAUUAAAACAAAUUUAAAAAUUCAUAAUAACAACAAUCGUACAAUACUUAAAGCACAUUUCCAUUAAAUCGUUGCCAAUGACAAUCUUUCUAAAUUAGAUGCAAUUCAUCGAAUUUGAUUUGUUAAUUCUAUUUAUAGAACAUUACCAGGAAGGAAGAUGUUACACGUAACAAUUGUUGAACAAGUUGGAUAAAAAUAAAUGUUAGCAAGGAUUGAUCGAAGCUGUCGCUAUUGCAUGUGCGACAGAGCACAUGGCUCGCGGAAAAAUGGAUUCCUUUUAACUGGUUUACGUGCGAUCUCGCCUCUGCUAUCGCGUCAUCGUUCUCGCUUACGAGUUCGUAUUUCCGUGGGCCUCCCGUCGAAACGUCACGAAUUCCGACGAUUUGACGCCGUACACUUACGAUGUUGGCUGCCAAUCGAUCGCCGCUGCCAGACUAGCUACCCCCUCCCCGCCGAUAUUCUCGACAUUGGCAAACAUUUCACGAACUGUUAUACGAUCAGAGGUUCGUAAAACUUGACAAUUUUUACAAAAUCCCGAUACCGUAGAAAUACAUUCCGAUCGAACGAGCGUUGUAACAUUUUAAUCGCCUCACGCAAAUAUUUACUAAACUAUAUAUUAUUGGGACAAGUGUAUCAAAUGAAACUUGUUCUGUUUCAAGGGGGGGGGGGGGGGGCGCCUUACGAUGACCGUCAAAUUUAUCUGGGUGCACGCGUUUCUCAGGUCUCGAGCUAUCGUUGUUCUUUUAAAUGGAACUAUACAUUUCUUGUUAUAUAUUUAUUACAAUUUUUUUUUCACGAAGUUUUUAAUUUUACUUUACAGAAAAAGUAUUAAAGUACUUGUAUGAAGAAAUGUUUAAUUUGAAAAACAUUUGCACGUUAACGAAAUCGAGCGUAUGAACAAGGAAAACGUAAACAUAAAAGCACUGCGUUAUCUUUCCUUGUCCUUCAUACGAUAAGUCUUGCAAGAUUAGUUGUAGUAUCUUUUAAACUAGUCAUUUUUCGAUCAAAGUACCUUAACGACUUUUUGUAAAGAAUUAAAAAAUGCAUCGCAUGGUCUCUAGAAAAAUGUAUAUUUUUAUUUUAUAAAGGCCAGACAUUGUAACUGUUAUAGAAUGAAUUUUUAAGGUUAUGGCAUAAGAGUUCAUUUAUUUAAUUAAAUACAAGUUUCGUUACGAAUAAUUAUUAUCGAUGACGGAGAUUUCAUUUUGCUUGCUAGUAAUCAUUAUCGAUGGACAGAAUUUUAUUUUGGUUAUAAAUAACCGUUCAAACUAAAUACAAUCUUUGAUUACCAGUAAUCGUUGCCUAUCGAGGACAGGGAUUUUAUUUUGGUUAUGAUUAGUCAUUAUCGAUGACGGAAAAUUAAUUUUGGUUACGAAUAAUUAUUAUCGGCAGCAAAAAAGUUUUGCAAAAUUGUUGGUAGCAUCACUGGCAAUUAGCGCAUAUUCAUUGACAACAUAAAAAAGGCUAAUUAUAAAAUUUAUUGUAUUUAAAAAAAGAGCACGAAAAUAUGUGAAACAGAGAAUAGAAUGAAGAUAUUGUACUACCAUAAUUUUUAUCAUAUUCGUUGUUUCACACAUUUUCAUACAGUUUCUUUACUUAAUAAAUAAGUCUUAUAAUUAAGUUCUUUUAUGCUGUCAGUAAAUAGUAAUUAUCAGUAAUAUUAAUGAUAAAUUGACAAUAGUCGAAUAUAACCAAAAAAUAAUGUUUUCGCAGCUGAUAUUGGUUAGUGAUAAUAAAAAAAAUUUUUCGGUGUCGAUAAUGUAAUGAUCAUAGUUAAUCAAGUGUAAUUAGGUUAACCAAAUUAUAGUUAACCAAAAAGAUUCCUGUCUCAUUAAUAUUAAUAUUAUUUAAAUAUUAAAUUUCUGUCAUCGAUAAUGGUUACUGGUAGGUAAAAAAUAUUUUAAUCAAUGUAAGUUUCAUUUGAAACAUUAUUUCGAGUAAUGUGUAGUGUGUGAGAUAUUUACAUGGAUCGAUUAAAAUGGGACACCCUGUAUAACACCUAGCAACUUGAAUUGCUCACUCAAAUAAGAAUCCCAAAUUUUACGAAAUAUUACGUUUCCAUUAAAAAAAAGUUCUAUCUCUUCCGUUAAUCAUAACAAUUAGCCGAUGCUUGGAAAAUAACACUUAUCGUGUGCCAUUGAUAUUUAAUGAUAAAUCACUAGAUGUUUUAUGUAUGUACUAAGAUCGUCGACGUGGAUAAUUUUAAUUGAUUUUCGCGGAAAGCUACGUAACUGUUACACUUUUCGCUAGCUCUUAUUGCGCCUUCAAUUUUUCCUUUUUUCCUUUACAUUUUUGCUAAAAACUGUCAACGUGGAGAUAAACGAGAUUUGGAAAUAUUACACAUUUGUAUGAUUUACAAAUAACGUAUUUAUUUCGGUUCUCUGCUUCGUCUUCAUCGAAUAUUUGAAAAAGACAAUGGCCAACAACACUAGUUCCAAAAAAAACGUUAAGAAACCAAAGAAACCACAAACUAGCGAAGAUAUGAUGAUAUAUUGUGGUACUGAAAUAUAUCAUAAUAUGCUUAUUUUAACAUUAAGUAUACUAUGAUAGAGAAAUGUCGAAGUUAUUGAAAAUAUUGAAAAUAAUAUAAAUAUAAUAUAAA